rnacentral:lncRNA from 1 species
ACAGUUAAGAAAUAUGAUUCAUGUUUGCUAUUGCAUUUGGAGCUCCAUCCUUACAACUUAUGGAUAAUAUGAAUACAUCAAGGUGUUUUGGUUCUCCCCAUUCCGUAUGUUCGCAAUGGAGUGUAUAUAUUGUUGAUUUAUGUCAUGGUGAUUGAAUUUGAUUGCAGAGAGAAAGUGCAAAAGCUAUGGGCAAUCCUAUAUGACUGGCGCCAUCAGUAAGGAUUUAUUUAAAGCUAGCUUACUUUUGGGUCUAAGCCAAGUUUAUUUCUUUCGCAGAUUUAUUCACCUUAUUGGGACGGUGGGGUUAAUAUAUAUACAUCAACUUUGAGCAUCAGCAACGCAUGAAGCUUGCUUCUGAGGCUGCAACAUACUUUGCAAUCCCCCUGUGAAACAUACUUUUGUCACUAUGCACAUAUGGUUAUUCGAACAGAUUGAUUUCGAUUAGACUAUCUUUUUCCUAAUUACUUGUUAUAUGAUGUUCUUUACUAUUCAGAGGUUGUUGAAGGGAGAUGGGGCUCUUCAGGCCCCUUUGGUGCAAAAGCACAAGCAACAACAUCUACAGCUGACCACUUAUAGCCUAGGAUGUCCUGCAGAUUUGAUCUAUUUUGGAUAGAGUACAUGGAAUCAAACCACAGGUAAUCAAUUUGCUAUAUUCAUGUGAUUAGCUAUAAGGAAUUUAUUACCUCUGUUUUAUUUGCAGGAUACCCAAGCAGUGCGUACAAAUUGUAGUGGUGCUUGUAGCUUAUCAUCAAUCUGCCAUUAUUAUUUGUAUGUAUGUGUUCAAAAUGACCACCUAGAGAUUCUUGAUUUG